AGAAAUGCAAAAGUUGCAAUUGCCUAAUUCACUUUAAUGUUGGUCUUUGCAGGCACUGUUACUGCCUGACACGAGUCUGUAGCUGCUCUUUAGAGGCCUUAAGGGCAGGAUGUGAUGGAAGGGAGCCACUACUACCUGCCAUUAUAGUCCAGUCGCUCUUCUGCUCCAAAGUCCACAAGACUGUGUGCAGAUGUCUAAGAAUGCAGGAAUCCUCAGUGACAUUUUUAUUCCUCUCCCCCCUCCCUGUUUCCCAGCACUCAAGAGACUGUCGCAACCCCUUAGGUCUGGACAAGAGAGACGAGUUGUGCAUAUGCAACAAAGCCUAAUUUAUUGGAGAGGAAUACAAUAGUUCCUGGCCGGGAGCAGGGCGGAAUGGAGGAGGAUCCACACGCUGCAUCUGCACUGCAAUAAGAACAAUAGGAGAAAUGCUCC
ensembl:lncRNA